UAUAGGGUGGUGUAAGGCACAUGAAGAUUUGGACUUUAAGGAAAUAAUAAAAUUAUUCCCUAUAA
rnacentral:tRNA from 1 species